UUCUAAGGGCGGUGAAGUCAGACCGGAAGGACUGGUGGAGCGCUUAGAAGUGAGAAUGCCGGUAUGAGUAGCGAAAGAAGGGUGAGAAUCCCUUCCACCGAAUAUCUAAGGUUUCCUGAGGAAGGCUCGUCCGCUCAGGGUUAGUCGGGACCUAAGCCGAGGCCGAUAGGCGUAGGCGAUGGACAACAGGUAGAGAUUCCUGUACCAGUGCUAAUUGUUUAACCGAUGGGGUGACACAGAAGGAUAGGGAAUCGCACGAAUGGAAAUGUGCGUCCAAGCAGUGAGUGUGAGAAGUAGGCAAAUCCGCUUCUCGCGAAGCAUGAGCUGUGAUGGGGAAGG
rnacentral:rRNA from 1 species